rnacentral:rRNA from 1 species
UGGCGGACGGGUGAGUAAUGUCUGGGAAACUGCCUGAUGGAGGGGGAUAACUACUGGAAACGGUAGCUAAUACCGCAUAACGUCGCAAGACCAAAGAGGGGGACCUUCGGGCCUCUUGCCAUCGGAUGUGCCCAGAUGGGAUUAGCUAGUAGGUGGGGUAAGGCUCACCUAGGCGACGAUCCCUAGCUGGUCUGAGAGGAUGACCAGCCACAUGGAACUGAGACACGGUCCAGACUCCUACGGGAGGCAGCAUG